rnacentral:lncRNA from 1 species
CUUGAGUUUGAGCAUUUUCAUAAAUAAGCUCAAACUCCAUCCUUGAAGUCAAGAGUAACAGUCUGUUAGUUAACAAUAUUUACUGAAUGUUUGUUAACAUUAGUUACUGAAUGAUAUUAAAAUUAUUCUGUCAUACAGGUGACAAAAUAGAGAGAUUGCUGAAGUGUACCUGUCCAUUUCUGUCUAAUAUAAUGAUUAGAAGCUUUUAUUUAAGGAGUAGUAGAAAUAUAGUCCAACCACGAAAGCCGCACCUAGCUAAGAUGGAUGAGUCCAAACGUGAAAGGGAGAGUCACAGUCGGUAUAAUGACGGGUGGGAAUAGU